rnacentral:rRNA from 1 species
CAAUAGCGUAUAUUAAAGUUGUUGCAGUUAAAAAGCUCGUAGUUGGAUUUCUGGUUGAAGCGACCGGUCGGGCGUUGAUUCGUCUGCACUGGAGUCGGUUUUGGCCAUCCUCUAGGAAAGUGCGUCUGGUAUUAAGUUAUCGGGCGUAUGAUCCUGGUCUUUUACUGUGAAAAAAUUAGAGUGUUUAAAGCAGGCCUUCGCCUUGAAUACAUUAGCAUGGAAUAAUAAGAUAGGACUUUGGUCUAUUUUGUUGGUUUGCAGACCGAAGUAAUGAUUAAUAGGGAUAGUUGGGGGUAUUUAUAUUCCGAUGUCAGAGGUGAAAUUCUUAGAUUUUCGGAAGAUAAACUUAUGCGAAAGCAUUUACCAAGGAUGUUUUCAAUA